rnacentral:rRNA from 1 species
AUGCCCCAGAGGUUCGGCCGGUCCCGCGUCGCUCAUUCUCGCUUCUUCCUCUGCUCGUGGCUCGCGUUGACUGCGAAAGGCCACAUGCCUCGUCCAACCACAUCCUCUCACUGCCUUGCUCCUCCACCACCACACCUCUCCUUUCUUCCUCCCCUCCCUGCCAGCCGGGCACUCUCCCUCUCCCGCCUCCGUUCGCCGCAGGUGAGUGCGCGGCUGCGGGUGUCUGGCCAACAGCAACAACUGCGGCAGUUCGGCGCCCGGAGAAGCCGCGCGUUGGGCGAUGUGGAGGAGGACGACCUGCCGCUUCCUCAUUCGGGCGUCCUCCUCUGCGCCGUCGAGAGACGUCCAUGGCCGCCCGAUGCCCGAGCGCCGCCGGCCAAGGACGCGCCGGCGUCCAGACCCCCUCCACGCCAUCCCCAUCUCGUUGGAGACCUACACCAAGUCCCAUCCAGCGCCCGCACCACCCUUCGGGCCCGCCCCGCAGCUCUGCAGCCCGAGCGCUUCGGCCGCCUCGCACCCGAAGCAGAGGAGAGGAGCUCCCUACCACGAGCCUCUCCAGCCCGGACAAACCAGCAGGCCGACCCCGCCUCCUUCUCACUUCCCUCCCCCUUCCUUUUUUUCCGCCGGGACGCAUCAUCCCUUCCUUCGCUUCUGCGGCGUGGAAGCCGACAGCAAGCUGCAGCCUGUGCCAGGCGAUGGAGAAGGCAAAUGGAGAAGCGGUGGUGGUGCCCGGCGGCGAAGCAGUUUAAUUAA